UAACGCGGAGAGCUCGCUCUCUGGCGACGAGUGGCGGACGGGUGAGUAAUACUUAGGAAUCUGCCCAGUAGUGGGGGACAACAUUCGGAAACGGAUGCUAAUACCGCAUACGCACUACGGUGGAAAGUGGGGGACCUUCGGGCCUCACGCUAUUGGAUGAGCCUAAGUCGGAUUAGCUUGUUGGUGAGGUAAUAGCUCACCAAGGCGACGAUCCGUAGCUGGUCUGAGAGGACGAUCAGCCACACUGGGACUGAGACACGGCCCAGACUCCUACGGGAGGCAGCAGUGGGGAAUAUUGGACAAUGGGCGCAAGCCUGAUCCAGCAAUGCCGCGUGUGUGAAGAAGGCCUGCGGGUUGUAAAGCACUUUCAGUAGAGAAGAAAAGCCUAGGGUUAAUAACCCUGAGUCUUGACGUAACCUACAGAAGAAGCACCGGCUAACUCCGUGCCAGCAGCCGCGGUAAUACGGAGGGUGCGAGCGUUAAUCGGAAUUACUGGGCGUAAAGCGCGCGUAGGCGGUUUUGUCAGUCGGAUGUGAAAGCCCUGGGCUUAACCUGGGAAUUGCAUUCGAUACUGCAUAACUAGAGUAUGGUAGAGGGAAGUGGAAUUUCCGGUGUAGCGGUGAAAUGCGUAGAUAUCGGAAGGAACACCAGUG
rnacentral:rRNA from 1 species